GCCAGGCAGGUCUAAUGUUGUCCAGACAGGCCAGGCAGGUCUAAUGUUGUCCAGACAGGCCAGGCAGGUCGUGUGUUGUACUGACAGGCCAGGCAGGUCUAAUGUUGUCCAGACAGGCCAGGCAGGUCUAAUGUUGUCCAGACAGGCCAGGCAGGUCUAAUGUUGUCCAGACAGGCCAGGCAGGUCUAAUGUUGUCCAGACAGGCCAGGCAGGUCGUGUGUUGUACUGACAGGCCAGGCAGGUCGUAUGUUGUACAGACAGGCCAGGCAGGUCGUGUGUUGUACUGACAGGCCAGGCAGGUCUAAUGUUGUCCAGACAGGCCAGGCAGGUCUAAUGUUGUCCAGACAGGCCAGGCAGGUCUAAUGUUGUCCAGACAGGCCAGGCAGGUCUAAUGUUGUCCAGACAGGCCAGGCAGGUCUAAUGUUGUCCAGACAGGCCAGGCAGGUCGUAUGUUGUACUGACAGGCCAGGCAGGUCGUAUGUUGUACUGACAGGCCAGGCAGGUCGUAUGUUGUACUGACAGGCCAGGCAGGUCGUAUGUUGUACUGACAGGCCAGGCAGGUCGUAUGUUGUACUGACAGGCCAGGCAGGUCGUAUGUUGUACUGACAGGCCAGGCAGGUCGUAUGUUGUACUGACAGGCCAGGCAGGUUGUAUGUUGUACUGACAGGCCAGGCAGGUCGUAUGUUGUACUGACAGGCCAGGCAGGUCGUAUGUUGUACUGACAGGCCAGGCAGGUCGUAUGUUGUACUGACAGGCCAGGCAGGUCGUAUGUUGUAC